AUGCCUCAUUGUAGCACCGAAUGCACGAGGACUGCUCCAUCUGUAGUGCAAACCAGCUCAUAUGCAUCCCUUGCAUUGCACAUGCAAAGGUUUUCCUGCAUAGCACAGAACUGUGCUGACUUUGAACGGGAAUUAAUGUCGAAGAUGCCCCUGAAAUCCAAAGCCGGAAUUCAGAUGAAAGACUUCUACAGUUUUGUGACAUCCCCAAAGGCCGUAACUUGGAGGCAAGCAAGGCAUCACAAAUGCAGUCAGUCUGUGGUCCAGCUGAUGUCUCUGAGCUCCCCUCCUGCUUUAACCUUCUCAAACUGUUUGAUCUGGAUGAUAAAUAAUAAGCCCAGGAGAAAAGUACUGUGCGGCUCCAUGGUAACUGGUGCUGGUAUCAACUUAUCAAUGAAAACAUCAAGUGAGGUGGUAAUUAAAAGUAGCUAUUUUGUAAAUGGAAUUACAGCUGUUGUGAUUGAAAUUAUUAUUUCCUAGGGAGAAAAAAGCAAUGAGUAUGGUACAGACCAAGGUACUCCUCAGGCUUGGAAAUAUGCUUCUCCCAAAGCUGUGUUUUUUGUCCUUUCGUGCAGGAUCUCUAAUAGAAAAAUCAAACUGCUGUUUCUUCAGCUGCUCCCUUUUGCAGUUAGCCCUCUAGAAGAAGGAACAACUGAGACAUGGUAUUUCCAAACUAUUACACACGACUUCAUGGAACAUUGGGAUUUUUCACACAAGAAAGCCCACUAGCUGGGGUUUUAUUUUUAUAUAUAUUUUUAAAAGCAAUUUAAAGACCUAUAAAACUGAUAAGACCUAAUUUCGUUAGCUUUUAAUAAAGCUGCUCGAGCAGUUUGAAGUUGGAUGUGC
rnacentral:lncRNA from 1 species